GCGUCCCCACGCCCUUUCUCCCGGUCGCCGCGUUCUUGGUGUGUCCUCCUGCGGGGAAGCCGGCCUGUUGCCAUCUAAGCCCAUCCUCUACCAGACCCACCGCCCUCAGCCUAGCCGCCACCUGUCCCGCACUCGCCGGGGCUGCCUCCCAAAGCUGCGAGAUGUUGAGUACUGCACAGAGGAGCCGGGCCUCCUGGCCUGCUGGGGUCGCGGUCCGAAAUGGCGUGUCGGCUUGCAUUUGCAGGGAGAGUGGACGGAGCCCAUGAGAGCCGCGCCCUUCUCCCGCCUUGGCCCGCACAGCCCUGCGCUCUGGUGUGACGGUGAGUAACGCGGGCAGCUGCCCGGUGCACACCAGUCCUGGGCCUGAAAUGGCUUAAUUUUGAAGAGGCCGCGUGGUGGUGUCAGCCAGACUUUGAACUGGAUCUGCCUGUGACCGCUACUUGCUGGGUAAUUUGGCUGUGCCUGAUGAAGAUUGCAGGAUGACAAGUUGCUUUCUGGUCGGUGAGGACUCGGGUCAGGACGUGCUGGAACACAACCACCUCAGAACCUGGUUGACCCCAAAUUUCCUGGCAGUUGUCUGAUACUGAAGAACCUGAAGAUAACCAGAUUGUGGCUCUCCUUCUGCUUUAGAGUAAGAUCUGUUACCAGUAAGCAGUCUUCCUCUAGUGUUGGAUCUACAUUGUUGGAUAUGUUGAAGCUGUAUCACAACUUCCUUGGAGCUUCAGGAGAGAAGCUGUGUGGGACGAGGCAAGCUAAAAGACAACAGGUUUGGAGGAGAGACUAUUCCAAGAGCAACUAAGUAACAAGAAAUCCCCUGACUCAUCCUCCCUGCCCUAGGGCCUGCUGGUUCUUGAAACAGGCCGGAAGCAAGCAUGCAAGACAUUUUCUUGGUAUUUGGGGCUGGUCUCCUAUACAUGUUGCCCUGUGGCAGUGGAGGCUUCUGUUGUGCUAAAUUCCCUUAAUAAAACUUGAUAUAAUGCUGGA